rnacentral:rRNA from 1 species
UACGUAGGGCGCGAGCGUUGUCCGGAUUUAUUGGGCGUAAAGGGCUUGUAGGCGGCUUGUCGCGUCGGAUGUGAAAACCCGUGGCUCAACUGCGGGCCUGCAUUCGAUACGGGCUGGCUAGAGUACGGCAGGGGAGACUGGAAUUCCUGGUGUAGCGGUGGAAUGCGCAGAUAUCAGGAGGAACACCGAUGGCGAAGGCAGGUCUCUGGGCCACUACUGACGCUGAGAAGCGAAAGCAUGGGGAGCGAACAGG